rnacentral:rRNA from 1 species
UGCAAGUCGAACGUGAAAACGGACUUCGGUCCGUCGGUAGCGUGGCAGACGGGUGAGUAACACGUGGGUAACCUACCCAGAGGUGGGGGAUAACCCUUCGAAAGGAGGGCUAAUACCGCAUAACAUCCCGAGGUCCUCGGGCUUCGGGAUCAAAGCUAGCCUCUACUUGUAAGCUAGCGCCACUGGAGGGGCCCGCGCCCCAUUAGCUUGUUGGUGAGGUAAAGGCUCACCAAGGCCACGAUGGGUAGCCGGCCUGAGAGGGCGAUCGGCCACACUGGAACUGAGACACGGUCCAGACUCCUACGGGAGGCAGCAGUGAGGAAUAUUGCGCAAUGGGCGAAAGCCUGACGCAGCGACGCCGCGUGGAGGAUGAAGGCCUUCGGGUCGUAAACUCCUGUCGAGAGGGACGAAAGUCGGGAAGGUUAAUAGCCUUCUCGGUUGACGGUACCUCCAAAGGAAGCCCCGGCUAACUCCGUGCCAGCAGCCGCGGUAAUACGGAGGGGGCCAGCGUUGUUCGGAAUUACUGGGCGUAAAGGGCGCGUAGGCGGCUGCGCAAGUCGAACGUGAAAUCCCUCGGCUCAACCGGGGAACUGCGUCCGAUACUGCGUGGCUUGAGUCCCGGAGAGGGUAGCGGAAUUCCCAGUGUAGCGGUGAAAUGCGUAGAUAUUGGGAGGAACACCAGUGGCGAAGGCGGCUACCUGGACGGGUACUGACGCUGAGGCGCGAAAGCUAGGGGAGCAAACAGGGAUUAGAUACCCUGG